rnacentral:lncRNA from 1 species
CUUAAUAUCAUUUACUAAAGUCAACAUGACUUAUUACCCUUCAUCCCGGUUUAUUACUCAACUGACGUUUAUUAACCGGACUCAAACAUCGUUGAUAAGGUACCAACUUUGUUCAUUGUACAUAUCGUGUUAACAGGCAUUACAUUCCUAAGUUUCAUACCAUAUACUUUCGUAUAGGUAGUAUAGGAAUAACUUUAAUACACUUAUGAAGUGUACAAACCUUAUCCCUUUAGGUCCCCAAACAAUUGAAGUUCAAAACCUAAAUUAGAAUCCAAGGCCUUACACUCGC